CCUACGGGAGGCAGCAGUGAGGAAUAUUGGUCAAUGGACGCAAGCCUGAACCAGCCAAGCCGCGUGAGGGAUGACGGUUCUAUGAAUCGUAAACCGCUUUUGUACGGGGGUAAAGGGAGAGACGCGUAUCGUUCUGAAAGUACCGUAUGAAUAAGGAUCGGCUAACUCCGUGCCAGCAGCCGCGGUAAUACGGAGGAUUCAAGCGUUAUCCGGAUUUAUUGGGUUUAAAGGGUGCGUAGGCGGUCGGGUAAGUUAGAGGUGAAAGCCUGUGGCUCAACCUAGGAAUGGCCUUUGAUACUGGUCGGCUUGAGUAUGCUUGCGGUAGGCGGAAUGCAUGGUGUAGCGGUGAAAUGCUUAGAUAUCACGAAGAACCCCGAUUGCGAAGGCAGCUUGCUGCGGCAGGACUGACGCUGAUGCACGAAAGCGUGGGGAUCGAACAGGAUUAGAUACCCGAGUAGUC
rnacentral:rRNA from 1 species